UUAAAGAAUAUAUAGGUAAAAAAAAAAGAUUUGCCUAAACUGGAAUCAACAACCAUAGCUAUGACAAACAUACCCUUGAUCAAUUGCAAAACAGAAGAUGUAUUUAGCAAAUACAUUGAAAAGCAAAAGGAAAAGGAUAAGGAAAAAGCUAAAGCAUUAAAAGAAUUGCUAUCCUUCCUAAACUUAUGUUUACCAUCUAAAAAUCUACGAUGCCCAAGUAGCAAUGUUUGAGACCAUGGCUUAGCUGCCGUGCAUGAGUAACUUGUGACAAACAGGGCAUGCUUAUUCACCUUUAGUACUCUACCUUGACAACAUUGCAUAUCCUAGAAAAUUACUAUUUGUCCGCCUCAAUGCCGCAUACAAUUGAAAAUUCUAUUUUUUGAUGCAUCAUAAGUUUGAAGACCUACAUCCCACAACUCA
rnacentral:lncRNA from 1 species